rnacentral:lncRNA from 1 species
UAUUUAAAUCUUAAUGUGUACUCUUCCCUUCUUUUCCCUCUGUAUGAAGUAGCUCUCUCCCAUCCUAAAAUGCUUCUGGACCUAGAUUUAUAGCAUCUUUUCUAUGAUGCCCUCUGUAAAUUUCUGCCAAUAAUUCAUUAAUUCAAUAAAUCUAUAUUGAAUAUCUUCUAGUUGUCAGGCACUGCCCUAGGGGCUGGGACUUUGGAAGUAAAGAAAAUUUUAAAGGGAUAAAAAUCUCAAUUCUCAUGGAGCUUGUGUCAUUAUGCAGUUAAUUUAAACAGCUCAAUAUAACAAACUUAUGUUGUCCACCUACAAUAUGUCCGGCACUUAUGUUAAGCACUGGGGUACAAAACUGAAUCGCUUAAUCCCUUGCCUCAAGGGGGUACUGUAGUUUGGAGAAAGAAGACUCCUAAACAAAUUACUUUCCUGCAGUGUGGUGGGGAGUCUGAUAAAGGUAAGCCCAGGUUUGUUAAUGCACCUAGCCCAAUCAUGGGGAGGAAAAGAGGAUCAAGGGGAGCCUUUUCUGGAGAAAGUGAUAAUUUGAGUCUUGAGAGAAGACUGAGUCUUUUCUUGUGUGAAUGAUGUUGAGAAUGGAACCAAGGGCCUUGUACAUGCUAGGCAAGUGCUUUACCACUGAGCUAUACCCCAGUCCUGAAAGGAGAUUGUCUUAAAAGUAAAAGGCAGAGCAGAUAACUGAAGAAGACAAUAUUAUAUGGAGAUCUGCAGAAAAUUUGGGGUUGUUAGAGUUUAAAUUUUAAGCUGUAGAAUGGCAGAAACAAGUCCUAGGAAAACAGGCAAGAACCAGAUCCUGCAG